AACGAACGCUGGCGGCAUGCCUAACACAUGCAAGUCGAACGAAGCCUUCGGGCUUAGUGGCGCACGGGUGCGUAACGCGUGGGAAUCUGCCCUUGGGUUCGGAAUAACAGUUAGAAAUGACUGCUAAUACCGGAUGAUGUCUUCGGACCAAAGAUUUAUCGCCCAAGGAUGAGCACGCGUAGGAUUAGGUAGUUGGUGGGGUAAUGGCCCACCAAGCCGACGAUCAUUAGCUGGUCUGAGAGGAUGAUCAGCCACACUGGGACUGAGACACGGCCCAGACUCCUACGGGAGGCAGCAGUGGGGAAUAUUGGACAAUGGGCGAAAGCCUGAUCCAGCAAUGCCGCGUGAGUGAUGAAGGCCUUAGGGUUGUAAAGCUCUUUUACCAGGGAUGAUAAUGACAGUACCUGGAGAAUAAGCUCCGGCUAACUCCGUGCCAGCCGCCGCAGUAA
rnacentral:rRNA from 1 species